UACGUAGGUGGCAAGCGUUGUCCGGAUUUACUGGGCGUAAAGGGCGUGCAGGCGGUUUGUUAAGUGCAGGGUGAAAGCUCCCGGCUCAACUGGGAGAGGUCCUUGCAUACUGGCGAACUCGAGGGAGGCAGAGGAAAGUGGAAUUCCCGGUGUAGUGGUGAAAUGCGUAGAUAUCGGGAGGAACACCAGUGGCGAAGGCGACUUCCUGGCCUGCACUGACGCUCAUGCACGAAAGCGUGGGGAGCAAACAGG
rnacentral:rRNA from 1 species